rnacentral:rRNA from 1 species
UGGGGAAUUUUGGACAAUGGGCGAAAGCCUGAUCCAGCAAUGCCGCGUGUGUGAAGAAGGCCUUCGGGUUGUAAAGCACUUUUGUCCGGAAAGAAAUCCUUGGCUCUAAUACAGUCGGGGGAUGACGGUACCGGAAGAAUAAGCACCGGCUAACUACGUGCCAGCAGCCGCGGUAAUACGUAGGGUGCAAGCGUUAAUCGGAAUUACUGGGCGUAAAGCGUGCGCAGGCGGUUUGCUAAGACCGAUGUGAAAUCCCCGGGCUCAACCUGGGAACUGCAUUGGUGACUGGCAGGCUAGAGUAUGGCAGAGGGGGGUAGAAUUCCACGUGUAGCAGUGAAAUGCGUAGAGAUGUGGAGGAAUACCGAUGGCGAAGGCAGCCCCCUGGGCAAUACUGACGCUCAUGCACGAAAGCGUGGGGAGCAAACAGGAUUAGAUACCCUGGUAGUCCACGCCCUAAAACGAUGUCAACUAGUUGUUGGGGAUUCAUUUCCUUAGUAACGUAGCUAACGCGUGAAGUUGACCGCCUGGGGAGUACGUCGCAAGAUUAAAACUCAAAGAAAUUGACGGGGUCAUAGCUGUUUCCU